CACGCCGCGUGAGUGAUGAAGGCUUUCGGGUCGUAAAACUCUGUUGUUAGGGAAGAACAAGUACGAGAGUAACUGCUCGUACCUUGACGGUACCUAACCAGAAAGCCACGGCUAACUACGUGCCAGCAGCCGCGGUAAUACGUAGGUGGCAAGCGUUAUCCGGAAUUAUUGGGCGUAAAGCGCGCGCAGGCGGUUUCUUAAGUCUGAUGUGAAAGCCCACGGCUCAACCGUGGAGGGUCAUUGGAAACUGGGGAACUUGAGUGCAGAAGAGAAAAGCGGAAUUCCACGUGUAGCGGUGAAAUGCGUAGAGAUGUGGAGGAACACCAGUGGCGAAGGCGGCUUUUUGGUCUGUAACUGACGCUGAGGCGCGAAAGCGUGGGGAGCAAACAGGAUUAGAUACCCUGGUAGUCCACGCCGUAAACGAUGAGUGCUAAGUGUUAGAGGGUUUCCGCCCUUUAGUGCUGCAGCUAACGCAUUAAGCACUCCGCCUGGGGAGUACGGUCGCAAGACUGAAACUCAAAGGAAUUGACGGGGGCCCGCACANGCGGUGGAGCAUGUGGUUUAAUUCGAA
rnacentral:rRNA from 2 species